GAUGAACGCUAGCGGCAGGCCUAAUACAUGCAAGCUGAACGGUAAAUGUUGUAGCAAUACGAUAUGAGAGUAGCGUAAGGGUGCGUAACACGUAUGCAAUCUACCCGCAACAGGAGGAUAGCUCCCCGAAAGGGGAAUUAAUACUCCAUAAGAUCACGAGAGGGCAUCUGAUUGUGAUUAAACUCCAAGGGGUUGCGGAUGAGCAUGCGUCUGAUUAGUUAGUUGGUGAGGUAACGGCUCACCAAGACGAUGAUCAGUAGGGGAACUGAGAGGUUGUUCCCCCACACUGGCACUAAGAUACGGGCCAGAUUCCUACGGGAGGCAGCAGUAGGGAAUAUUGGUCAAUGGGUGAGGGCCUGAACCAGCCAUGCCGCGUGCAGGAAGAAAGCCUUCUGGGUUGUAACCUGCUUUUGCCAGGGGAUAAAAUACCCAUGCGUGGGAAAUUGAAGGUACCUGGUGAAUAAGCCACGGCUAACUACGUGCCAGCAGCCGCCGUAACAC
rnacentral:rRNA from 1 species